UAAAUCUUAGGAAUUUAUGCUUUUAGCAAUUAAGAGUUCGAAUCUCUUUACUUGUAAUAAAUAUAUUUUAGAC
rnacentral:tRNA from 1 species